UACGAAGGGUGCAGGCGUUAAUCGGAAUUACUGGGCGUAAAGCGUGUGUAGGUGGUUGGAUAAGUUAGAUGUGAAAUCCCCGGGCUUAACCUGGGCAUUGCGUUUAAGACUGUUUAACUAGAGUACUGUAGAGGAUAGUGGAAUUUCCAGUGUAGCGGUGAAAUGCGUAGAUAUUGGAAGGAACACCAGUGGCGAAGGCGACUAUCUGGAUAGAUACUGACACUGAGACACGAAAGCAUGGGGAGCAAACAGG
rnacentral:rRNA from 1 species